AACUUUCAACAACGGAUCUCUUGGUUCUCGCAACGAUGAAGAACGCAGCGAAAUGCGAUACGUAUUGUGAAUUGCAGAUUUUCGUGAAUCAUCGAAUCUUUGAACGCACAUUGCACCCUCUGGUAUUCCAGAGGGUAUGCCUGUUUGAGCG
rnacentral:rRNA from 1 species